rnacentral:rRNA from 1 species
UACGGAGGGUGCAAGCGUUGUUCGGAAUUACUGGGCGUAAAGCGCGUGCAGGCGGUUUGGUAAGUCGGGCGUGAAAGCCCCGGGCUUAACCCGGGAAGUGCGUUCGAAACUGCCAUUCUUGAGUAUGGGAGAGGAGAGUGGAAUUCCCAGUGUAGAGGUGAAAUUCGUAGAUAUUGGGAGGAACACCCGUGGCGAAGGCGACUCUCUGGACCAAUACUGACGCUGAGACGCGAAAGCGUGGGGAGCAAACGGG